rnacentral:rRNA from 1 species
GGGUUGUGAGGUUAAGCGACUAAGCGUACACGGUGGAUGCCCUGGCAGUCAGAGGCGAUGAAGGGCGUGCUAAUCUGCGAUAAGCGCCGGUAAGGUGAUAUGAACCGUUAUAACCGGCGAUACCCGAAUGGGGAAACCCAGUGUGACUCGUCACACUAUCAUUAACUGAAUCCAUAGGUUAAUGAGGCGAACCGGGGGAACUGAAACAUCUAAGUACCCCGAGGAAAAGAAAUCAACCGAGAUUCCCCCAGUAGCGGCGAGCGAACGGGGAGGAGCCCAGAGCCUGAAUCAGCAUGUGUGUUAGUGGAAGCGUCUGGAAAGGCGCGCGAUACAGGGUGACAGCCCCGUACACAAAAGCGCAUGUGCUGUGAGCUCGAUGAGUAGGGCGGGACACGUGGUAUCCUGUCUGAAUAUGGGGGGACCAUCCUCCAAGGCUAAAUACUCCUGACUGACCGAUAGUGAACCAGUACCGUGAGGGAAAGGCGAAAAGAACCCCGGCGAGGGGAGUGAAAAAGAACCUGAAACCGUGUACGUACAAGCAGUGGGAGCCCCACCACCAAAGCAUUUGCUGUACCGCGUUGACGGAGCGAAGCGACGUCAAACCGAUAAAACAGCAGUGUAAAGUGAGCCGCAGGGCGCUUUGCGCGACAGCGCAAAGGCAGGCGGUUUCGCGUAGCGAAAGCGAAUGCUUUGGGGUGGGGUGACUGCGUACCUUUUGUAUAAUGGGUCAGCGACUUAUAUUCUGUAGCAAGGUUAACCGAAUAGGGGAGCCGGAGGGAAACCGAGUCUUAAUUGGGCGUUAAGUUGCAGGGUAUAGACCCGAAACCCGGUGAUCUAGCCAUGGGCAGGUUGAAGGUUGGGUAACACUAACUGGAGGACCGAACCGACUAAUGUUGAAAAAUUAGCGGAUGACCUGUGGCUGGGGGUGAAAGGCCAAUCAAACCGGGAGAUAGCUGGUUCUCCCCGAAAGCUAUUUAGGUAGCGCCUCGUGAAUUCAUCUCCGGGGGUAGAGCACUGUUUCGGCUAGGGGGCCAUCCCGGCUUACCAACCCGAUGCAAACUGCGAAUACCGGAGAAUGUUAUCACGGGAGACACACGGCGGGUGCUAACGUCCGUCGUGAAGAGGGAAACAACCCAGACCGCCAGCUAAGGUCCCAAAGUCAUGGUUAAGUGGGAAACGAUGUGGGAAGGCCCAGACAGCCAGGAUGUUGGCUUAGAAGCAGCCAUCAUUUAAAGAAAGCGUAAUAGCUCACUGGUCGAGUCGGCCUGCGCGGAAGAUGUAACGGGGCUAAACCAUGCACCGAAGCUGCGGCAGCGACGCUGAUGCGUUGUUGGGUAGGGGAGCGUUCUGUAAGCCUGCGAAGGUGGCCUGUGAGGGUUGCUGGAGGUAUCAGAAGUGCGAAUGCUGACAUAAGUAACGAUAAAGCGGGUGAAAAGCCCGCUCGCCGGAAGACCAAGGGUUCCUGUCCAACGUUAAUCGGGGCAGGGUGAGUCGACCCCUAAGGCGAGGCCGAAAGGCGUAGUCGAUGGGAAACGGGUUAAUAUUCCCGUACUUGGUGUUACUGCGAAGGGGGGACGGAGAAGGCUAUGUUGGCCGGGCGACGGUUGUCCCGGUUUAAGCGUGUAGGCUGGUUUUCCGUGCAAAUCCGGAAAAUCAAGGCUGAGGCGUGAUGACGAGGCACUACGGUGCUGAAGCAACAAAUGCCCUGCUUCCGUGAAAGCCUCUAAGCAUCAGGUAACAUCAAAUCGUACCCCAAACCGACACAGGUGGUCAGGUAGAGAAUACCAAGGCGCUUGAGAGAACUCGGGUGAAGGAACUAAGCAAAAUGGUGCCGUAACUUCGGGAGAAGGCACGCUGACACGUAGGUGAAGUGAUUUACUCAUGGAGCUGAAGUCAGUCGAAGAUACCAGCUGGCUGCAACUGUUUAUUAAAAACACAGCACUGUGCAAACACGAAAGUGGACGUAUACGGUGUGACGCCUGCCCGGUGCCGGAAGGUUAAUUGAUGGGGUCAGCGCAAGCGAAGCUCCUGAUCGAAGCCCCGGUAAACGGCGGCCGUAACUAUAACGGUCCUAAGGUAGCGAAAUUCCUUGUCGGGUAAGUUCCGACCUGCACGAAUGGCGUAAUGAUGGGCGGGCUGUCUCCACCCGAGACUCAGUGAAAUUGAACUCGCUGUGAAGAUGCAGUGUACCCGCGGCAAGACGGAAAGACCCCGUGAACCUUUACUAUAGCUUGACACUGAACAUUGAGCCUUGAUGUGUAGGAUAGGUGGGAGGCUUUGAAGUGUGGACGCCAGUCUGCAUGGAGCCGACCUUGAAAUACCACCCUUUAAUGUUUGAUGUUCUAACGUGGACCCGUUACCCGGGUUGCGGACAGUGUCUGGUGGGUAGUUUGACUGGGGCGGUCUCUCCCUAAAGAGAAAAGGGGGGGCACGAAGGUUGGCUAAUCCUGGUCGGACAUCAGGAGGUUAGUGCAAUGGCAUAAGCCAGCCUGACUGCGAGCGUGACGGCGCGAGCAGGUGCGAAAGCAGGUCAUAGUGAUCCGGUGGUUCUGAAUGGAAGGGCCAUCGCUCAACGGAUAAAAGGUACUCCGGGGAUAACAGGCUGAUACCGCCCAAGAGUUCAUAUCGACGGCGGUGUUUGGCACCUCGAUGUCGGCUCAUCACAUCCUGGGGCUGAAGUAGGUCCCAAGGGUAUGGCUGUUCGCCAUUUAAAGUGGUACGCGAGCUGGGUUUAGAACGUCGUGAGACAGUUCGGUCCCUAUCUGCCGUGGGCGCUGGAGAACUGAGGGGGGCUGCUCCUAGUACGAGAGGACCGGAGUGGACGCAUCACUGGUGUUCGGGUUGUCAUGCCAAUGGCACUGCCCGGUAGCUAAAUGCGGAAGAGAUAAGUGCUGAAAGCAUCUAAGCACGAAACUUGCCCCGAGAUGAGUUCUCCCUGAGACUUAGAGUCUCCUGAAGGAACGUUGAAGACGACGACGUUGAUAGGCCGGGUGUGUAAGCGCAGCGAUGCGUUGAGCUAACCGGUACUAAUGAACCGUGAGGCUUAACCUUACAACGCCGAAG